rnacentral:tRNA from 2 species
AGAGAGGUGUCCGAGUGGUCGAAGGAGCACGCCUGGAAAGUGUGUAUGGGCCUCAAGCUCAUCGUGGGUUCGAAUCCCAUCCUCUCUG